GUGCUCACUUUGGAAGCACAUAUACUAAAGUUGGAACCAUACACAGAAGAUUAGAUGGUCCCUGCAUAAGGAUGACAUGCAAACUCAUGAAGCAUUCCAUAUUAAA
rnacentral:snRNA from 1 species